rfam:Dendroctonus ponderosae Seq01000213, whole genome shotgun sequence.
UGUUGGUUCUCCCGCAACGCUAACUUGUUAACCAGGUCAGGUCCGGAAGGAAGCAGCCAUAGCAGGUGUCGUGUGUGCCGGGAUGUAGCUGGCAGGG